rnacentral:lncRNA from 1 species
UUAAGUAGGGGGCGAUUUAAUCAAAGUAGAUAAAACAGGAAAAGUAUAGGUAGCUAGCUACAAUUCCUAGCAAAAAUAAGAAAUCUGAAGAUCAUAUUAUUAUUUUUUAUAUUUAGUUAUUGUUUGAAGAUGAAGGUGAUCGGCAUAAGAACAAAUUAGUUGAAACGUCCAGCUCAAAUUAAAGAAAAAUUCACACAACCCUAAGAUAAAGUAAACUCGUUGAUUGUGGUCUAUCACUUAUUUCUUCUUUAAUAUACUGCACUUCUUGUUGGAAAUACUUGCAGUUGAUAUAAUCUCAGGUAUAAUGCACUUAUGCCAUAUAUGGAUAAAUGGGAUUUAUUUCAUAGCAUAUUGGUGGCAAAUCUAUUGUUCUCCAAU